rnacentral:rRNA from 1 species
CCUACGGGGGGCAGCAGUGGGGGAUAUUGCACAAUGGGGGGAACCCUGAUGCAGCGACGCCGCGUGGGUGAAGGAGCGUUUCGGCGCGUAAAGCCCUAUCGGCAGGGAAGAAGGAGGACGGUACCUGACUAAGAAGCCCCGGCUAACUACGUGCCAGCAGCCGCGGUAAUACGUAGGGGGCAAGCGUUAUCCGGAUUUACUGGGUGAAAAGGGGGCGCAGACGGCAGCGCAAGCCAGGAGGGAAAGCCCGGGGCCCAACCCCGGGACUGCUCUUGGAACUGCGCGGCUGGAGUGCAGAGGGGGCAGGCGGACUUCCUGGUGUAGCGGUGAAAUGCGUGGAUAUCAGGAGGAACACCGGUGGCGAGGGCGGCCUGCUGGACUGCGACUGACGUUGGGGCCCGAACGCGUGGGGCGCAAACAGGAUUAGCUACCCGGGUGGC